rnacentral:misc_RNA from 1 species
GAUGAAGAAACGUAGCGAAAUGCGAUAAGUAAUGUGAAUUGCAGAAUUCAGUGAAUCAUCGAAUCUUUGAACGCACAUUGCGCCCGCCAGUAUUCUGGCGGGCAUGCCUGUUCGAGCGUCAUUUCAACCAUCAAGCCCCAGGCUUGUGUUGGGGACCUGCGGCUGCCGCAGGCCCUGAAAACCAGUGGCGGGCUCGCUGUCACACCGGGCGUAGUAGAUUUUAUCUCGCUCAGGGCGUGCUGCGGGUUCCGGCCGUUAAAAAGCCUUUUUUACCCAAGGUUGACCUCGGAUCAGGUAGGAAGACCCGCUGAACUUAAGCAUAUCAAUAAGCGGAGGA